rnacentral:sRNA from 1 species
GCUACAUAUACAUACAUUUGCUAUAAUUUCCAUUAGUUUAUGUUUUUUUUUUUUAUAAAAAUUCACAUUCAAUAAUACUUUCAUUUUAAGGUGAGGAGGAGGAGUAGGAGGUUUCUGUCAUUUUUUCAUUUGCUUUACUUUGUUCAUUGGUUCAUUGAGAGGUAAUGUUGGGAAACAAGUGUUAACAAUUUAAUAUGGUUUUGGGUUUUUUUUUGUUAUUGUUUAGUUGGGUUUUGGAUUUGAAAUAUAAAGUUGCAUUGUAUAAAUAGGGGAAUGUUUGAAAAUUAUUUUUAAUAAAUUAAAAAUAGACAAUAUUAUAAUUUUAAGAAGAUUUACGAAUGUUUUAAUUUAUUCAUACGAUUUUUGUUUAAUUCUCUCCAUAAAAUCUCCUCUCAUAGAAUCUCCCUAAGAAGUUAAUGUAUCCUCUUCUUUAGAAUUACCAUAAUACUCUUUUAAGGGCGACCUAUAAGACCUCAUUGAAGGUAUUUAAAAAUCUUUUAUCAAUUUUUUUAGACGAGAUGUUUCUUUCUUUUUUUGAGAUGAGAUAAAAUCUCCUCUUAAAGAAUAUAUUUAAAAAGUUAAUGUAUACAUUCUUUUUCUUCGUAUUAGGGUACUUUAAUACGUUUUUAAAAGCGUCGUGGGUCGCUUUUUUUUUUGAGAUGAUAAGAUCUCCUUUUAUGGAAUAUCAUUAAAAAGUUAAUGUAUCCUCUUCUUUAGAAGUACCAAAAUAAGAUUUUAAAGGCGACCUAUGAGACCACAUUAAAGGUAUUUCAAAAUAUUUUACGAGAUUUUUUUUUUGAGAUGAGAUGUUAUAGGGCCGGAUGCCCAGCUUCCGGUAAACUAAUAAAUCUUUUUAGAAGAUUUGUUGAUCUUCAAUAAAGGGGCUUAACAUUUUUUCUGAAGAAGACUUCUGAAAGAGGGCCAUCACGUUUAUAUUAGAUGACCUCAAAGCUUUAUAGGAAAUACUUGCAAAUACCUCAUUAAUUUCUAAAUAUUUUACGAGACUUUUCUUAAGAUGAGAUUUUGCAAUGGUCUUCGAGUCUCCGAGCUGCCGACUAUAGGGCCAACUUCCGGUAAACAAAUCUAUCUUUUCAGACUUGACAUUUUGUCUGCAGAAGUCUUCUGUGGAGGAGCCUUCACAUUUAUACUAGAAGACCUCAAAAAACUCAAAGCUUUAUAGGAAGUACUUCCAAGUCUCUGAGAAGGAAGAGCAUCACCUCUUGAGGGAAAAACUUUUUCAAUCUUUUCAGAGACUACCUUAGGGUUCUCUAUGGGAAUAUUUAAUGGUUUUUAGGAGCUUUUUGGGAAAAGAUUUUGCGGUCUUUAAAAUAUAUCUUAAAUUCUGCAAUAAGAGGAUUUUGUCUGCAAAAGCUUCUGUGAGGUGGUCAUCAUGAUUAUAUUAGAAGACCUCAAAGCGUUAUAGGAAAUAUUUCCAAGUCCCUGGGAAAGACACUCUAAGGUAAUUUUGAAAAGCAAUACAUCAUGUCUUGAGGUAGAAUAUCUUUCAAUAUUUUCAGAGAAUACCUUGGGGUCUUUUAUGGGAAUAUUUAAUGGGUUCUAGGAGUCUUUUGGAAAAUAUAUUUUAAUGUCUCUUAUGAGCCUUUUCUGAGAUGAUGCUCUUUUAAAGGAGACCUAUAAGCCUUUUUUGAGAUGAGUUCAAAGUCGUGGAUAAAGUUGACCUCAAAUAUAUUCUAUCCGAAUACCCAGAAGUCUCCUAUGAGAUUAAGGCCCUUUUUUGAGAUGAGAUGAUGCUCUUUUACAGGUGACCUAUGAGCCUUUUUCGAGAUGUCUUUAAAGUCGUGGAUAAAGUUGACUUUGAUAUAUUCUAUCAGAAUAGCCUGCAGUCUUCUAUGAGAUUAUUUGAAGGUUUUCUAUAAGGACUCCUUAAAAUCUUAUUUGAGAACAUCUAACAUUUCUGUAUAGAAUAGGGGGAGCCUUUUGUGGUUUAUU